rnacentral:rRNA from 1 species
CAAUAUGAAGGUCAGGCUGAAGACCUUACCCGAUUAGCUGAGAGGUGGUGCAUGGCCGUCGUCAGUUCGUACUGUGAAGCAUCCUGUUAAGUCAGGCAACGAGCGAGACCCACGUCCACAGUUGCCAGCAUACCCUCCCGGGGUGAUGGGUACACUGUGGAGACCGCCGCUGCUAAAGCGGAGGAAGGAGUGGGCAACGGUAGGUCAGUAUGCCCCGAAUCUCCCGGGCUACACGCGGGCUACAAUGGCUGGUACAAUGGGCAUCUACCCCGAAAGGGGAAGGAAAUCUCUUAAAGCCAAUCGUAGUUCGGAUUGAGGGCUGCAACUCGCCCUCAUGAAGCUGGAAUCCGUAGUAAUCGCGUUUCAACAGAACGCGGUGAAUACGUCCCUGCUCCUU